UUGUGGGCGGAUCUGAAGGCGGGAUAACUGUAAAUGCAAGUGGAUAGUAUCGGCUAAUUCAGAAUUUCAACGAAUGAGAUUGGUGUUACUCUAUGACAAUCAAAAACUGUCCAAUUAUCACCGUUUGAAGUUGUCUAUCAAGUGGAACUUUAACCAAACGUUUCGCAGUUCGUGUUCCCUACCUCUUUGAGUUCCGUCUUAUAGAGUGUCUUCUUAAAUAAACUGUUGUUGUACCUAGCGACGAGAUUCCAUUAAAUGAAAGGAGGCAAAAAUAAGAAGCUGCGGCGAUGAAACUCCAUUAGUCAAAAGAAGACGUGGCGACGAAACUGAUUGCUCGUAUUUUUGACAAUGGAAGCUGUUGUAUCUCAAAGGUGUCAUCCAAAUGCAUUAAAAUGAUCCUAAAGGUCACCGGGUAAUGACCUCUAUACAGUAGAAGAUGAGGAGCUGACAGAUGGCCUCUACAACUACCUGAUGAAGUGCUGUGAAGAGCUGUAGGCACUUUGUGAAGAUCCACAGAGUUCACGUCAUUCUGGAUGUGCUGAUGCCGGAGGCUCAUUUGGCUUCAGUGAGUCUCUGAGUACAGAAAGUGUCUCUGUGAGUGACGUCCUCUCUGUUUCUGUGUCUGUCAUCGGUUCUUAAUAAAGCUCGAGGAACAGUUGAGAGGAUUUCUCUAGCAGAGGCAGAAGGUCUGAUCAUUGAUGGACCAGCAGACGGUGAGUGAAGAGCUUGACACACUUGAGCUUCAACUGUUGGGAGUACAAAGACAGACAGCAUCACUGAGACUUUUCAACUUGGGAUUCCAUCUCAGCGCCUCCUCUGAUAAACGUGUCACUGGCUUUACUGGUCUUUGGCCUUUUGGAUUUCUGAGUGCUGAACUGACUGACGAGUUGUGGAGAUUUGAUUUAACUAUUGAUGUCAAUAAUAAAGUCCUGCAUGUUUGAAAUG